CCAGACUCCUACGGGAGGCAGCAGUGGGGAAUCUUCCGCAAUGGGCGCAAGCCUGACGGAGCAACGCCGCGUGAGUGAAGAAGGUCUUCGGAUCGUAAAGCUCUGUUGAUGGGGACGAACGUGCCUAAUGCGAAUAGUUUUAGGUAAUGACGGUACCCAUCGAGGAAGCCACGGCUAACUACGUGCCAGCAGCCGCGGUAAUACGUAGGUGGCGAGCGUUGUCCGGAAUCAUUGGGCGUAAAGGGAGCGCAGGCGGGCAUGCAAGUCUUUCUUAAAAGUGCGGGGCUCAACCCCGUGAUGGGAAAGAAACUAUGUGUCUUGAGUACAGGAGAGGAAAGCGGAAUUCCCAGUGUAGCGGUGAAAUGCGUAGAUAUUGGGAGGAACACCAGUGGCGAAGGCGGCUUUCUGGACUGCAACUGACGCUGAGGCUCGAAAGCCAGGGGAGCGAACGGGAUUAGAUACCCCGGUAGUCCUGGCCGUAAACGAUGGAUACUAGGUGUGGGAGGUAUCGACCCCUACCGUGCCGGAGUUAACGCAAUAAGUAUCCCGCCUGGGGAGUACGGCCGCAAGGCUGAAACUCAAAGGAAUUGACGGGGGCCCCCACAAG
rnacentral:rRNA from 1 species